UACGUAGGGGGCAAGCGUUGUCCGGAAUCAUUGGGCGUAAAGCGCGCGUAGGCGGCCAGAUAAGUCCGGUGUGAAAGUCACAGGCUCAACCUGUGAAUGCCGCUGGAAACUGUCUGGCUUGAGUCCGGAAGGGGCGAGUGGAAUUCCUGGUGUAGCGGUGAAAUGUGCAGAUAUCAGGAGGAACACCAAUGGCGAAGGCAGCUCGCUGGAACGGUACUGACGCUGAGGCGCGAAAGCGUGGGGAGCGAACAGG
rnacentral:rRNA from 1 species